AAAAAAAAAAAAAAAAAAACUAGGUUUAUUCCCUAUCUCUACUGUGCCAGCACCAAACAUGCAUGAGAUCCAUAUGCCAAAAAGACAAUAGCUAUACUUUCAAAGGCACUAUUCAUAUAAUGCAGAAAGGAAAGAAUACACACAGGAAUAACUCAGAGAAGCAGUAAUCCUGCAAAUGUUGCUAUGCAUAUUAAAGAAAAAGAGAAAAAGAAAAGCGCUCACCCACAAAUAGGUCAUAAAUGUAAUAAUUCAACUACAACACUACCCAUACAUGAUUACACAUGAGUCUACCACUAUGCAUUAUAUAUUAAUUACUUAAAAUGACAAUUGGGAAAAACUAAGUGAGGUUAAUAGACUCCCAAUCCCAACUUUUCAAGUCUAUCAACCAUCAAAGUUUAACUGCUGCGAAAAUUACUGCAGUUGGUUACAUGAAAGUUUACAGUGUUAUGUUGAAUACUUUGAAAUAUGUAGCAACUACUUUGGCACAAGCCAGAAUUUAACAAUUCACAACUUCAACUGAAAAACUUACAUCUCAAGUUACUUACCAGCCCUAGAAUAUAUUUCACACAACUAAUUGCAUCCCUCAAUCCAGUUUGUUUACACCCAGAAAAACGGAACAAUGGUACCCAUAAAUUAAUUACACACACACACACACACAC
rnacentral:misc_RNA from 1 species